rnacentral:rRNA from 1 species
GCUUAACGCGAAGAACCUUACCUGGUCUUGACAUCCACAGAACUUGGCAGAGAUGCCUUGGUGCCUUCGGGAACUGUGAGACAGGUGCUGCAUGGCUGUCGUCAGCUCGUGUUGUGAAAUGUUGGGUUAAGUCCCGCAACGAGCGCAACCCUUAUCCUUUGUUGCCAGCGGUUAGGCCGGGAACUCAAAGGAGACUGCCAGUGAUAAACUGGAGGAAGGUGGGGAUGACGUCAAGUCAUCAUGGCCCUUACGACCAGGGCUACACACGUGCUACAAUGGCAUAUACAAAGAGAAGCGACCUCGCGAGAGCAAGCGGACCUCAUAAAGUAUGUCGUAGUCCGGAUUGGAGUCUGCAACUCGACUCCAUGAAGUCGGAAUCGCUAGUAAUCGUGGAUCAGAAUGCCACGGUGAAUACGUUCCCGGGUCUUGUACACACCGAGGUCUUGUACACACCGGG